AGCUCUGAAAGCGUAUACUAGAGUUGUUGCGGUUAAAAAGCUCGUAGUUGGGAGAAGGAGACAUUGAGAAAAAUAGAGUGUUUAAGGGUGAAGUGGGAGAGCACAGGACGUCCCGUCUCGUUUUUAUACGAGAUGGAGAGAAUAGAAACAAUAGAGGAUAUUAGUAUUUUAUAGUUAGAGGUGAAAUUCUAUGAUUUAUGAAAGACUAACAGGGGCGAAAGCAUUUAUCUCUUGUAUGUUUA
rnacentral:rRNA from 1 species